rnacentral:rRNA from 1 species
ACCUCAAGUCAUGUGAGAGUACCCGCUGAACUUAAGCAUAUCAAUAAGCGGAGGAAAAGAAACUAACAAGGAUUCCCCUAGUAACGGCGAGUGAAGCGGGAAGAGCACAAAUUUAAAAUCUACCUGGUUUUCAGGUCGAGUUGUAAUUUGAAGAUACGUUUUUGACGUUCUAGGUUGGACUAAAUCCUUUGGGAUAAGGUAUCAUAGAGGGUGAGAAUCCCGUAUAUACCAACCGUAGGGAUGUUAUUAAAUACGUUUCUAAGAGUCGAGUUGUUUGGGAAUGCAGCUCUAAAUAGGUGGUAAAUUUCACCUAAUGCUAAAUAUAAGCGAGAGACCGAUAGCGAACAAGUACAGUGAUGGAAAGAUGAAAAGAACUUUGAAAAGAGAGUUAAAUAGUACGUGAAAUUGUUGAAAGGGAAACGAUUGAAGUCAGUCAUGCCGGUGGGAAUCAACUUAGGGGAAACUCUGGGUGCACUUCUUCGCUUGGCAGGUCAACGUCGAUUUUGAAUGUCAUAAAAUAAUUGGGGGAAAGUAGCUCCUUCGGGAGUGUUAUAGCCCUUGAUAGAUGUGAUGUUUGAGGUCGAGGAUUGCAACGGAUACCCUUCGGGGCUAGCUGCCUGAUCUCUAAUUGGUGUUGGGUUAUGGAUAGCAUGCUGACCGUGAUCUAAUUACUGGUUAAAAGGUUAGAGUGUGCAUAAAUUCAUUAAGGACGUUGACGUAAUGGCUUUAAACGACCCGUCUUGAAACACGGACCAAGGAGUCUAACAUGUAUGCGAGUGUUAGGGUAUUAAACCCAGACGCGAAAUGAAAGUGAGUGUAGGUGGGAUCCUUUAUUGGAGCACCAUCGACCGAUCAUGAGAUUUAUCGAUAGAAUUGAGUUAGAGC